GUCCGACCAAGAGUAAUUAUUAUUACUUAUUUUAUCUUGUCUUGUAAAUUCCAAACACCACUUUAUAUUUACAUUAAUUUAAAUACUUUUAUUUGGUGAACAUGGAUAUAAAUACGGAUAAUAAAUUAAUAUGUGAAGAUUGUGGAAAGUAAUUUUCUUCUACUUCAACAUUAUCGGCAUAUGAGGGAUAUACAUAAUAAAAAACAGAGUGAAAUAGAGAGCAGACACAUUAUUUGCCCCCUUUGCCUGGACAAAGAGAAGUUUACAUCCAUUCAUUAAUAAGAAUCUUUCAUAGUAUUCAUAAUAUACAUAUUGAAGAAUCUGUUUUAAAUUUUAGGAAUUUGGCAGCGUUUGAAGUUUGGAGGUCUCCAGAAAACAGAGAGGUAGAUUAUGCUGUUCACCGAAGAAAGAAAUUGCUAAUGGAGAAGAAUGUAUUUACUAUAAUUGUCAUACAGGUGAUUUAAAAGACAAAGCGCCGUGAUUGGCCCGCAUGGGUGCGGAAAUUAAUGAAUCCUAUUUUUUAUCGUCGAAAUUUGAUAGUAUUGAUCUGGACAACGUUUACUUUUAACAAGACGGCGCUACAUGCCAUACAAGCAACAUUGUUCUCUUACGGGAAAAGUUUCCGGACCGUGUUAUCUUUUGAAGAGGUGAUCUUAAUUAGUUACCGAGAUCUUGUAUUUCAACACCUUGUGAAACCUUCAUUUGGGGCUACGUGAAUGAGAAGGUCUACGCCAACAGCCAAGCGUCAAUUCAAGAUCUCAAAGAAGAGCUUUGUGAGGCUAUCGAGGACAUAUGGCAGACACUUUGCGGUUUUGUUAUGGAAAAUUUCAUAAAAAGGAUAUGGUCUUGUAGGCGUGAUCGUGGUGUUUAUUUGACUGAUGUUAUUUUCCAUUAUUAACGGCAUAUCUUCCUCUUUAUAUUGUAAUAAAUAUCCGAUUAUUUAUCUUAAAAAAUCGAAUUUUUCUUCAAAUAUCAAAAUAACGCAUUUUACUGAACAACCCUUUAUAAUGCGCUCUUUUAUAGGAAUAAGACCUUAUUCCUCAAGAAGGAAGACAUUUGCCACUUGA